UAGGGUUUGAUCCUGGCUCAGAUUGAACGCUAGCGGGAUGCCUUACACAUGCAAGUCGAACGGCAGCACGGACUUCGGUCUGGUGGCGAGUGGCGAACGGGUGAGUAAUGUAUCGGAACGUGCCCAGUAGCGGGGGAUAACUACGCGAAAGCGUAGCUAAUACCGCAUACGCCCUACGGGGGAAAGCAGGGGAUCGCAAGACCUUGCACUAUUGGAGCGGCCGAUAUCGGAUUAGCUAGUUGGUGGGGUAACGGCUCACCAAGGCGACGAUCCGUAGCUGGUUUGAGAGGACGACCAGCCACACUGGGACUGAGACACGGCCCAGACUCCUACGGGAGGCAGCAGUGGGGAAUUUUGGACAAUGGGGGAAACCCUGAUCCAGCCAUCCCGCGUGUGCGAUGAAGGCCUUCGGGUUGUAAAGCACUUUUGGCAGGAAAGAAACGUCGCGGGUUAAUACCCCGCGAAACUGACGGUACCUGCAGAAUAAGCACCGGCUAACUACGUGCCAGCAGCCGCGGUAAUACGUAGGGUGCAAGCGUUAAUCGGAAUUACUGGGCGUAAAGCGUGCGCAGGCGGUUCGGAAAGAAAGAUGUGAAAUCCCAGAGCUUAACUUUGGAACUGCAUUUUUAACUACCGGGCUAGAGUGUGUCAGAGGGAGGUGGAAUUCCGCGUGUAGCAGUGAAAUGCGUAGAUAUGCGGAGGAACACCGAUGGCGAAGGCAGCCUCCUGGGAUAACACUGACGCUCAUGCACGAAAGC
rnacentral:rRNA from 1 species